GAUGAACGCUGACAGAAUGCUUAACACAUGCAAGUCUACUUGAAUUUGGGUUUUUUACCUUCGAUUUGGGUGGCGGACGGGUGAGUAACGCGUAAAGAACUUGCCUCACAGCUAGGGACAACAUUUGGAAACGAAUGCUAAUACCUGAUAUUAUGAUUAUAAGGCAUCUUAGAAUUAUGAAAGCUAUAUGCGCUGUGAGAGAGCUUUGCGUCCCAUUAGCUAGUUGGAGAGGUAACGGCUCACCAAGGCGAUGAUGGGUAGCCGGCCUGAGAGGGUGAACGGCCACAAGGGGACUGAGACACGGCCCUUACUCCUACGGGAGGCAGCAGUGGGGAAUAUGGGACAAUGGACCAAGAGUCUGAUCCAGCAAUUCUGUGUGCACGAUGACGUUUUUCGGAAUGUAAAGUGCUUUCAGUUGGGAAGAAAAAAAUGACGGUACCAACAGAAGAAGUGACGGCUAAAUACGUG
rnacentral:rRNA from 1 species